GGCAUUGAUGGCCGAAGCCCCGGCGGCCGCGGCCUGUUGCGCCGCCGACGUUGCGUGAUGACGUGCUAGCGCGCGCUUAGGCCGCGUUCAGGCCGC
rnacentral:tRNA from 1 species